rnacentral:rRNA from 1 species
GACGAACGCUGGCGGCGUGCCUAACACAUGCAAGUUGAGCGACGAACCAGGGCUUGCCCUGGGGCAAAGCAGCGAACGGGUGAGUAACACGUGGGUAACCUACACCCAUAACUGGGACAACCCUAGGAAACUCGGGCUAAUACCGGAGGUGCGCACUGGACUGCGGUUCAGUGCGUAAAGGAAUCUUCGGCCUCCGUAUCGGGAGGGGCCCGCGGCGCAUUAGUUUGUUGGUGGGGUAACGGCUCACCAAGACGGCGAUGGGUAGCUGGUGUGAGAGGAGGAUCGGCCACACUGGGACUGAGACACGGCCCAGAGUCCUCCGGGAGGCAGCGGUGGGGGAUAUUGCGCAAUGCGCGAAGGCGUGACGCAGCGACGCCGCGUGGGGGAAGUGGGCCUUCGGGUUGUGAACCCCUUUCAGGAGGGACGAAGGUGCGGCGGUGGAUAGCCGUCCGGACUGACGGUACCUCCACAAGAAGCCCCGGCUAACUACGUG